rnacentral:rRNA from 1 species
AUGGAAAGUUUUAAUCUCUUCAAAACAUUGCUGUGUAUCGGAAGCUAAGCAGGGUUGGACCUGGUUAGUACUUGGAUGGGAGACCACUUAGAAAGACCAGGUGCUGUAGGUG